rnacentral:rRNA from 1 species
CCUACGGGAGGCAGCAGUGGGGAAUAUUGGGCAAUGGGCGAAAGCCUGACGCAGCGACGCCGCGUGAGGGAUGAAGGUCUUCGGAUCGUAAACCUCUGUCAGCAGGGAAGAACGGUCACUGUGGUAAUCAGCAGUGAAUUGACGGUACCUGCAAAGGAAGCACCGGCUAACUCCGUCCCAGCAGCCGCGGUAAUACGGAGGGUGCGAGCGUUAAUCGGAAUUACUGGGUGUAAAGCGCUCGUAGGCGGUAUGUCAAGUCAAGGGUGAAAGUCCCGGGCUAAACGUGGGAACUGCCUUUGAAACUGGAAAACUGGAGUGUGUGAGAGGAUAGUGGAAUUCCAGGUGUAGGAGUGAAAUGCGUAGAUAUCAGGAGGAACAUCGGUGGCGAAGGCGACUAUCUGGGACAUAACUGACGCUGAGGAGCGAAAGCGUGGGUAGCAAACAGGAUUAGAUACCCCAGUAGUC